CAGGAGUAAUAAUUUGGACAGAGGAAGGAACAGAGACAUAUAUUGGUAUCUUCAGUAAUACAAGUAAAUUAGGAUGGUAACAAAAAUGAAAGAAAGUUAAGUAACUUGGAGAGGAACAACACGAAACUUUACUUGAAAAAAUCUUCAGGAUUAGGAGGGCAAUCAUAAUUUAUUGUUGGACAAUCAUAGUUCACUUUCAGAUGAUAAAAUAAUUACCACAUAUGUGCUGAAGGCAAGAAAUGAGGUUUGGUAUAAACUUUUUGAAUCAGAAAUUUCUGGAAACCUGAAACUUCUUGUAGUGAACUAAUUCCUUGUGACGACACCUGGAGAAGUAGACAAAAAAUUAUUAGACGAUUGCAAGAGAUAUAUAUAUAACAUGCGAUGUAAUCAAAUGUAAGCAACAAACUACCUUUGAUGACUCGGUGAUAAAUGAAGAAUGGAAACUGUCUUUCUUGCUUAAAUCUUGAGCGACUUUUUCAAAUCACUAAAUAAAUAACAUAUGCUGAUGCAGUAUUGUAUCCAAAAUAUUUUGAAUUUGUCCCAACAACUCUUUAUUUAAUGAAAGUCAUAGAAUAACUAACUUCAUCACCUUCAUAACAUUAAUUGAUGAAGUGUGCCAGCAAAAAGUAUGAUGGUCUAACCUAUAGCAAGCUUCUGUGUGAAAUUGAAGAUGAUAUUAAAACAUAGACAUUGAUAUCUUAACAAAUUUAGAGUGAUAUGUAUUGAUUUUUGUUUUACUAUAUAGAAAUUGGAAUAUACAGAUGCAACAUUGAAAGUUGAAAAGAGGCAAAAAGUGUUUCUACCACUAUCACAGACAAUCAGCAAAAACAUUAGAGAGAUUCAACAUUGAAAGCAUGAAAACAAAGAGAACGAAAAAAACACAUCAGAAGAGGGAGAUGAUACUUCCCAGCCUGAAAGAGAAAGAAAUCACAGAGAGUUUGAAAUGAUAAUUUGAUUCCAAAAGAAUGGAAUAAAUUCUCAAACUUUUGCAUCUUUCUUCUAUAACUAAUCAGGCGGGGAGGGGCGGGACGGGGAGGGGAAGGGAUUAGAGUUCUCAUUAUAAACAACUUAAAAGUACCUAUUUCAAGAAAGACAUUAUAAUGUCUUUUGUGAAAUCUGCGGGACAUGAUCAAUAGUAUUAUCAAAAUGAAGCAUCAUAAACCGCCAAGUAGUAUAUAAGAGACUCCAAGAAUCUGGUUGCGGAUACAUUCUUGAAAGCAUCACAUAUAUUAUAUAGUUUUCUCAAGUUCAUCCGUCAGUAGUAAUGUGAUUAUAUUCAAAUAUUGUCUCACUGCUGUCAUAAAUUACCUCUGUAUGAAACGUGCAAUUGAAUCCCAACAUGGAGCAAACAAAUACUGAUUUUCACGUGUCAAUGCUUGAUUUCUCCGCUCUUGUCCUAACCUUUUCCAGUACAUUAACUGGAACAGUUUUCAUCUCACGAAAGCCUUGUAUGAUGUAUGUCUAACUUAUUUCUUCCUGGGUCAUCUUGUCAAGUUGUCACGUCAACUCCCAUUUAGUUAUCUGCUAAAAGAAAGCAAUAAUUUAAAACUGCUUAGGAAUUAGCUUUCAAUUCAUCAUGAAUUUACAAAAGGAUACAUAGAACGGGCCAACAUGUUAUUUUGUUUACACCAUGUUAUUUUGUUUAGUUAAAUAUGUAGUAAAGAUCAAGUGUGCUUAUUUACUCUUCAAAAUAUUACACCAUGGCUACUAUGACAACAUCUAAAAAAUUAUAUUAUGUGCAUCAUAGUCUCUUAGUUAUAAUUACAUACACUUUCAAUGUUGGGGAUCUAAACACAUCUUCUAUUACUGAUGCAAGCUUUUUCAUCUAUCCCCUCGUUUGAAAUCAUAAAAUUCACGCGAUGGGAACUUUUGUAUAUUGUCUAUCACUCUAGAAGGAAAUUCUACAAAUGUAAAUUAAUUAGAGGUUGUAGCUCAGAAACACCUAAGGCGUAAAAUUUACUUGCAUGAGAGCAUUGAAAAAGACAGAAUAAAAUAUAUCUUGAACUGAAAAAAAUAAUACAGUGGUAUCAAUUAAUUAGUAGCCUCCUUUUAGGUAUGGUUAGCUCUUUUUUAUCUUACGGUCAUGGGUUACCCCAACCAUAGGAAGAGAGGAUUCAUCAUGUCCGUAAAUACAUUCUUGAUUUUGUUCUCUUGUUACCUCUAUUUGUGGGUUUCAUUAUGUCUACAACACCAGAAAAAUUGAUAAAAAGAAAGCGUCAGAGAAGGUAAAUUUACCUUGGCUUAAAAUGGGAGUACCUGAAAGUAUAAUAAUUAGAACAGUUAUAUGAUCCAAGUGCUUCUAAAAAAGUAGAUCACCAACUUUUUGAGCUACUAAAGGCUAUUUUUAUGUAACACCAAGGAUAAACUGAUAACUUUGCAAUAAAAGGAUAAGAUUAGCAUGAGAAAUUCUAGCUCAAAUGGUCGUUACAAUACCAUUACACUCAUUACACUAUGUAGGGGGUUACUAUGCUAGAAACAUUUUUUCUUAAAUCUUAAUUUUAAGUUGCUGAAUGAAAGAUCCAAAAAAAAUUGGCGUUGGGUGAGAAUGUGAUCAUAUUUGUGUAAUUGGUCAUAUAGUAAAUAAUUAUUUUUGGAUGAAGCUAAUCUACUAAAAAUACAAAAUGAAACAUACCUCAAACUAAAAAAGAAAUUAACAGAGUGACAUCAAUUAAUUAGCUGCCUCCUCCUAUGUAUGGUUGACUCUUCUUGAUUAUGCAGUCAUGGGCUAACUCGUCCGUAGAAAGAGGGGGCUUCAGCAUGCCCGUAAAUGAAUUAUUGAUUUUGAUCU
rnacentral:lncRNA from 1 species